GACGAACGCUGGCGGCGUGCCUAAUACAUGCAAGUAGAACGCACAGUUUAUACCGUAGCUUGCUACACCAUAGACUGUGAGUUGCGAACGGGUGAGUAACGCGUAGGUAACCUGCCUGGUAGCGGGGGAUAACUAUUGGAAACGAUAGCUAAUACCGCAUAAUAUUGAUUAUUGCAUGAUAAUUGAUUGAAAGAUGCUAUUGCAUCACUACCAGAUGGACCUGCGUUGUAUUAGCUAGUAGGUGAGGUAACGGCUCACCUAGGCGACGAUACAUAGCCGACCUGGGAGGGUGAUCGGCCACACUGGGACUGAGACACGGCCCAGACUCCUACGGGAGGCAGCAGUAGGGAAUCUUCGGCAAUAGACGAAAGUCUGACCGAGCAACGCCGCGUGAGUGAAGAAGGUUUUCGGAUCGUAAAGAUCUGUUGUAAGAGAAGAACGGGUGUGAGAGUGGAAAGUUCACACUGUGACGGUAUCUUACCAGAAAGGGACGGCUAACUACGUG
rnacentral:rRNA from 1 species